GCCAGAUGUGCACAGGUUGGAUGGGGUGAACCCUCUAAAAUGGGGUGUUCUGUUGCCCAGAGCUUCAUGUAAAGGUCUGCAAUGCCAUUGAGCAACACUGGCCACUUGAGAGGAAACCAUGAUGGGACCAAAUGAAGAGAAACCUUGUCUAACGAAGGGAUGCAGAAGUGUUCAGUGAGAGACAAGUGCUGACUGAAGCUCUGCAUGAACAGCCCUAAAAAUUUGGACUAUCCAGAGCUGAAGACCAAUGAGGCAUCUCUAGAUGUGAGGCCACCACACAGUUUAUUUUGUUACCUGCCAAAUCCAUUAUAUACAUGACAGUGUGAAUACUGAGAAAAAGUAAUGGGAAAAUUUUUGGCAUAGAGUAAAGUAAUGAAGCCUAAGAAGCCAGAUGUGGCUGCUAGGCAAUUCAUAGCCAGCAUGGAGAUGAAAUGUUUAAUUGUUUUCCUCUCUGGAAACGUUUGUCACUCACGCAUAAACAAGCUGCAGGCACAACCAGCCCAUCUGUGUGAACGAAUCAAUGGUCCAGACUGGGAAAUGACUAAUGCACUCCUAAACUGGCUCUCCUUGACGAUGAUGUCAGAAUAGUAAAAGAUGAAAAAAAGACAUCUCUUCUUCCCUGCUAAGGGGGGAAACUCCCCACGCUGCAUGCUCUCAAGGGCUCCUGAAAUUCAGGCAAAGCCUGUGCCAGCUCUGUAAGGAGCCUCAUGGUUCACGUUUGUGUUUUUCCUGCGUAAGACUCCCUUGGCUUCCACUUUCUCUUACAAACCCUGCUAAUGAAUGAGCCACAGAGGACUCAAGGGCACAUUUUUUGAGGUAUCGAGAUGACAUCUACAGAGCAAUAAAAGGACAUCAAAGCACUAUCUGCAAACAGUCUGUGAGAUGUCACGUGAAUCA